UAGCCCUGCAUUGACACCAUACCA
rnacentral:siRNA from 1 species